GAUGAAGAACGCAGUGAAAUGCGAUAAGUAAUGUGAAUUGCAGAAUUCAGUGAAUCAUCGAAUCUUUGAACGCACAUUGCGCCCGCCAGUAUUCUGGCGGGCAUGUCUGUCCGAGCGUCAUUUCAACCCUCGAACCCCUCCGGGGGGUCGGCGUUGGGGAUCGGCCCUUUACGGGGCCGGCCCCGAAAUACAGUGGCGGUCUCGCCGCAGCCUCUCCUGCGCAGUAGUUUGCACACUCGCAUCGGGAGCGCGGCGCGUCCAAUGCCGUAAAACACCCAACUUUCUGAAAUGUUGACCUCGGAUCAGGUAGGAAUACCCGCUGAACUUAAGCAUAUCAAUAAGCGGAGGA
rnacentral:misc_RNA from 1 species